CGCACACGUCGCGCUGCCCGCUCACCAGGCGCAAGGCGUGGCCGGCGUCGGCGGCCAUCGCCAGCACCAGCAGCGUGGCGACGGCGGCGCCCAUCAGCAUCGUUGUCACUGAGCCGCUCCCCCGUGGCAUCGUCUCGCGGUUGUUCCUGCGCGUCAUAUCGUCGUUGGUGUUAUCAAGGUACGUUGGUCCUUUUUUUCGAGUCUGUCGGCUGUCGGUGCGGGCGGCAACGGUCUGGAUGACAAGGAAAAAAAAAAAAGAACGGCGCCGUGAGCGACGGCUCUUGCAAAGCGAGAGAAAAAGUAGAGACACACACACACAGGCGCGCGCAAGUCCGACGGCUCCUUUGUCCUAGGGACGCGACGGAUCGGUGGUGCGCGCACGCGGCCGCGUGCACCCCAGUGCGGCCGUAAAAAGAAUCUGGCAGGGCUGCUGCCGUUGCGGCGCGCGUGCGCACGACAAAACAAAAGGAAAAGUGCCACAAACCACGCCUCACGGCGUCGAGGAUGCCUCGUAUUUCAUUUUCGGCUGUGGGCGGUCGCGCAUUUUGAGAGCCCCCGGCGAGGUGCCAGUAAAAAAAAAGAGGGAAAAAAAGGAGAGCGCGCCAAGAGAGACAAGGACACAAAAAGGAGAGAAAAAAAGGGGCGGUGGGUACCCAAAAAAAUGUCGGUCCGACAGUGGCGGGUGUGAAAAUACAGAGUCUAAUAUGGCCUCUCGGGUGGGUAUUUA
rnacentral:lncRNA from 1 species